CCCCAAACUAAAAAACACAAGAAUGCUAGGUGGGAUGACCUGCACCAUGUUUCCUUUGCAGGAUGUCAUGUUUGGCCUCAAGUUUCCCUCACCUAGAAGAGAAGUUAUGGGUACCAAAAUGAUUUGCAGGAUGACAUAUUUAAGUAUGCACCGAGCUAGUGACCUUUAUGGUCUACCAUGAAGAGUAGUCUAGGGCCACGAAGGAACAAGAAGCGAGAAAUCAAGAAGACGUUACAAAGAUGAGGCGUUUCACAGAUAUAAAAUGGGGAACUGAUAUCCAAACAUUCCAUUGUAG